AGUGAACGCUGGCGGCAGGCCUAACACAUGCAAGUCGAACGGCAGCACAGAGGAGCUUGCUCCUUGGGUGGCGAGUGGCGGACGGGUGAGGAAUACAUCGGAAUCUGCCCAGUCGUGGGGGAUAACUUAGGGAAACUUUAGCUAAUACCGCAUACGACCUACGGGUGAAAGCGGAGGACCGCAAGGCUUCGCGCGAUUGGAUGAGCCGAUGUCGGAUUAGCUAGUUGGCGGGGUAAUGGCCCACCAAGGCGACGAUCCGUAGCUGGUCUGAGAGGAUGAUAAGCCACACUGGAACUGAGACACGGUCCAGACUCCUACGGGAGGCAGCAGUGGGGAAUAUUGGACAAUGGGCGCAAGCCUGAUCCAGCCAUGCCGCGUGAGUGAAGAAGGCCCUCGGGUUGUAAAGCUCUUUUGUCCGGAAAGAAAAGCACUUGGCUAAUACCCAGGUGUCCUGACGGUACCGGAAGAAUAAGCACCGGCUAACUUCGUGCCAGCCGCCGCAGUAACAC
rnacentral:rRNA from 1 species